rnacentral:misc_RNA from 1 species
ACAAUCAAAACAAAACAAAAACGGCUGUACGUUUUCUAAAUCCUUCUGCUAAACGAUAUCGCUUUCGUCUGCUUGUGUAGCUAAAGCCAAUCUUACUAGAAUGAUUUCAUUCAAGGUUUUACUAGUUUGCCAUUUCGCACUAGAGCUAUUAGUUGCCGGGUCGUUAUCUGAACAAGUUCAAAAUAGUUUGGAAUCCUCCAGUUCCCAUGACAAUGUUUCACAGCCAACGGAGGAAACUUCAGAUGAUAACUUAAUAAAAUCGCCACUUCUUAACAACCCUGUUGAUGGUUCAUCGACUGGAAAUGACUCUGUUACCAAUGAUACAAUGAUAUCUAAUGCCACUCAAAUAAAAAAAUUUACCUGUCUUCUAGAUGAAACACAGGAAAAUAAUCCAACAUUUCAGAUAGUCAAUGGUACUACACUGUUAUCUGUUCUAAAACAAAAUCAAAAUGUUACAUCUCGAACCCAACCAGCAGCAUGCCAUGUUGUUGUGUUUUUCACUUCAUGGUGCCCUUUCAGUGUACAGGCUGCCCCGCACUUAAAUGCCCUACCAAGAGGAUUUCCAAUGAUGUCUUUUUAUGCUAUUGAUGCCUAUUCCCAUAACAGCUUAACCACAAUGCAAGGAGUAAUGGCAAUUCCAAGUUUAUUCUUGUAUCACAAUGGUAAGGCCGCUGCAAGGUAUAACGAAACGGAAUACAAGGUAGAUUUGUUUGCCAGUUUUAUUACACGCUAUACAGGUAUACAGCCAAUAGGCGUUUUAAAUCGCACCACCGCUGAUUAUCAAGGUCCUUUGCCUACCAGUGUAAUAGAACAGACGGACCAAUGGCUCAUCCUUGCCUGGGUUGUGCUUUUCCUAUCGUUGGUUUAUUGGUUCACUAGGUCUAAUUUGUUUUGGACCUUAAUGGAGAAUAUCCGCAAUACGUGGAGAGAAGCAGAAGCACAACAUCAGCAUAUUGAUUAGCCCCAUUUUCAGAACGAUCUCAUUCGUAACAUAGAAGAAGCACCAAUAACAUGCGAUUGGAAAGGAAAAUAUGGCUUUUUCUUUUGGGCAGCGAUGGAUUUCUACUAAGUAAGGCAAGCAAAAAAGUGUAUUUUCAAUGCUGCACUUAUUCGGAAAACGUAAAAAGACUACGCGAGUCUGAAAAUUUGCAACGUCCAAGUUUGUUUUUUUUUUUUAUUUAUUUAUCUUGGGACAUUAAAGCCGCCAUAUUCAAAAAGGUUUCUGGACCUAUCGCCGAUUCUCAACCCGCGCUGCCCGGUUCACGAAGUUAUCCCUCGAUCGUCCCGAUUGGCUUUUUCCGGGGCAGGGCAGGGACCCCGAUUACAGCAAACCGGGGACGAUCCUUAGUUCUAAUCUCACAACCAAAAUUACAACACCUACGUUAUGUUCUUAUCCGUCGCUUUUUGCAGGGUAUUAACGCUGCACAGCUAAUUUUUAAAAUAAUAAAGCUAUUGCGAACCAGGCAAACGCGACAUCUAUGGGUGGUGAGAGUAGGAAUGGCCAACACAAAAUACCUUGAGCUCCCAUGAGAUAGCGGUGGCAAAACUAAAACAAAACCGAAUUCAACGCAAUGCCAUUUGACAUACUUUUUAUGGUCCGCCCUGUUCUCUGGUUUACCAUUUAGUUCAGCAAUUUGAGAAAGAUACCCAUCGUCAUCUAGUGAAACUCCAUUUCAUUCAGUUAUUCAGUAGACCGUUAUACAACCAACGGAUUAGUUCUCCAUCACUAAACCUAGUAAAUUAUUGCUGAUCUGUUUGGUCGUUUUCGGUAGUUAAAUGUAACAUUUUUUAUGAAUUGUGACCGCAAGCAAUUUAUGGCUUCGUUUUUGUUUUGUUUUUGUUUUUUCUCUCUUUAGUUUCGGGAACAGCGGGAGUGCGCAGCACCUCGCUUGAUUCAUUUUCUUAAAUUAUUUGUUAUUGUUUUGUUUUGUUUUUGCUGUUGUUAUCGUUUCUUUUCUGCUGUCCGCUGGCACAUUGGCAGUACAUUUAUAUAUACAUAUAAAUAUAUAGAUAUAUAUAUAAAUA